rnacentral:rRNA from 1 species
GAUUUCUGGUUUGACAGGCCUGGCCCGCCAAGGUUACUUGUGUGAGUGCCGGUGCGUGUCUGCCAUCCUUCUGGUGUACGUUGUCUACCCUUUACUGGGCCGGAUAGCGCGUACCAGAUCAUUUACUUUGAAAAAAUUAGAGUGUUUAAAGCAGGCUUUUUGCUAUGAAUACAUUAGCAUGGAAUAAUAAUUUAGGACUUUGGUUCUAUUUUGUUGGUUUCUAGAGCUGAAGUAAUGAUUGAUAGGGAUAGUUGGGGGUGCUCGAAUUCAGCGGCCAGAGGUGAAAUUCUUGGAUUCGCUGAAGACGAACUCAUGCGAAAGCAUU